UACGGGGGGGGCAAGCGUGGUUCGGAAUUACUGGGCGUAAAGGGCUCGUAGGCGGCCAACUAAGUCAGACGUGAAAUCCCCAGGCUCAACCUGGGAACUGCGUCUGAUACUGGAUGGCUUGAAUCCGGGAGAGGGAUGCAGAAUUCCAGGUGUAGCGGUGAAAUGCGUAGAUAUCUGGAGGAAUACCGGUGGCGAAGGCGGCAUCCUGGACCGGCAUUGACGCUGAGGAGCGAAAGCCAGGGGAGCAAACGGG
rnacentral:rRNA from 1 species